rnacentral:rRNA from 1 species
UACGAGGGGGGCAAGCGUUGUUCGGAAUUACUGGGCGUAAAGCGCACGUAGGCCGAUUGGUCAGUUAGGGGUGAAAUCCUGGAGCUCAACUCCAGAACUGCCUUUAAUACUGCCAAUCUCGAGUCCGGAAGAGGUAAGUGGAACUCCUAGUGUAGAGGUGGAAUUCGUAGAUAUUAGGAAGAACACCAGUGGCGAAGGCGGCUUACUGGUCCGGUACUGACGCUGAGGUGCGAAAGCGUGGGGAGCAAACAGG